rnacentral:rRNA from 1 species
AUUGAACGCUGGCGGCAUGCCUUACACAUGCGAGUCGAACGGUAACAGGUCUUCGGAUGCUGACGAGUGGCGAACGGGUGAGUAAUGCAUCGGAACGUGCCCAGUAGUGGGGGAUAGCCCGGCGAAAGCCGGAUUAAUACCGCAUACGACCUGAGGGUGAAAGGGGGGGAUCGCAAGACCUCUCGCUAUUGGAGCGGCCGAUGUCAGAUUAGCUAGUUGGUGGGGUAAAGGCCUACCAAGGCAACGAUCUGUAGUUGGUCUGAGAGGACGACCAGCCACACUGGGACUGGGACAAGGCCCAGACUCCUACGGGAGGCAGCAGUGGGGAAUUUUGGACAAUGGGCGCAAGCCUGAUCCAGCAAUGCCGCGUGCAGGAAGAAGGCCUUCGGGUUGUAAACUGCUUUUGUCAGGGAAGAAAUCUUCUGGGUUAAUACCUCGGGAGGAUGACGGUACCUGAAGAAUAAGCACCGGCUAACUACGUGCCAGCAGCCGCCGCCGUAA